GAUAAUUUCAUUCAAUAAAAUACACGGAAAAAUAUUCACUUUAUGGUAUCAGAGCUUCGUUGGAGAAGAAAUUAUUUUCUGUUUGAGAAAACCAUCCAAAUCAUUACUGUGGAGUUAGGUCACCGUCUCAAUAUGACAUUUAAGUCUCAUCGCCCACCAAUGAAGGAAGACCUCUCACCAGUGACCUCACCCAGAAAAUCCUGUCACCAGAAGGCCAACGAGUGAGUCUCACGCGCCGAUACAAGUUCCUACUGCCGUCCAACUUGCCAACGCGUGAAGGUGCAUCCGCCAUCCUCUGCCGCUCCGAUUGCUCUCGCCGACGUCGCUUUGGGUGUAUACUGCAUCCCUAUUAGCUGUUUUGUCAUAAGGUGCUCUUAUAGAGUUGAUUUGCUUGGUCCACCUACUGUUGGGUAU
rnacentral:misc_RNA from 1 species